AAUUACCUACGGGAGGCAGCAGUGAGGAAUAUUGGUCAAUGGGCGGAAGCCUGAACCAGCCAAGUCGCGUGAGGGAUUAAGGCCCUAUGGGUCGUAAACCUCUUUUGCCGGGGAGCAAAAAGCGGUACGUGUACCGCAUCGAGAGUACCCGGAGAAAAAGCAUCGGCUAACUCCGUGCCAGCAGCCGCGGUAAUACGGAGGAUGCGAGCGUUAUCCGGAUUUAUUGGGUUUAAAGGGUGCGCAGGCGGCGAGUUAAGUCAGCGGUAAAAUUUCGGGGCUCAACCCCGACGAGCCGUUGAAACUGG
rnacentral:rRNA from 1 species